UUGUCCUCUGGAGUUCCCUUGACCACUUCACUGGAGGUUUCUUUGGACCCUUUGGCUGGGAAAUUAGGAUCCUCAUUCCACUGAAGUGUUUGGGGGAACUCUGGCGGCCAU
rnacentral:pre_miRNA from 1 species